rnacentral:rRNA from 1 species
CAGCCGCCACGGGAAUACGAAGGGUGCAAGCGUUACUCGGAAUUACUGGGCGUAAAGCGUGCGUAGGUGGUGGUUUAAGUCCGUUGUGAAAGCCCUGGGCUCAACCUGGGAAUUGCAGUGGAUACUGGAUCACUAGAGUGUGGUAGAGGAUAGUGGAAUUUCCGGUGUAGCAGUGAAAUGCGUAGAGAUCGGAAGGAACAUCUGUGGCGAAGGCGACUAUCUGGGCCAACACUGACACUGAGGCACGAAAGCGUAGGGAGCAAACAGGAUUAGAUACCCCUGUAGUCCCUGUCUCUUAUAC